rnacentral:rRNA from 1 species
AUUGAACGCUGGCGGCAUGCCUUACACAUGCAAGUCGAACGGUAACGGGUCCUUCGGGAUGCCGACGAGUGGCGAACGGGUGAGUAAUAUAUCGGAACGUGCCCAGUAGUGGGGGAUAACUGCUCGAAAGAGCAGCUAAUACCGCAUACGACCUGAGGGUGAAAGGGGGGGAUCGCAAGACCUCUCGCUAUUGGAGCGGCCGAUAUCAGAUUAGCUAGUUGGUGGGGUAAAGGCCUACCAAGGCAACGAUCUGUAGUUGGUCUGAGAGGACGACCAGCCACACUGGGACUGAGACACGGCCCAGACUCCUACGGGAGGCAGCAGUGGGGAAUUUUGGACAAUGGGCGCAAGCCUGAUCCAGCAAUGCCGCGUGCAGGAAGAAGGCCUUCGGGUUGUAAACUGCUUUUGUCAGGGAAGAAAUCUUCUGGGCUAAUACCCCGGGAGGAUGACGGUACCUGAAGAAUAAGCACCGGCUAACUACGUGCCAGCAGCCGCGGUAAUACGUAGGGUGCGAGCGUUAAUCGGAAUUACUGGGCGUAAAGCGUGCGCAGGCGGCUUUGCAAGACAGAUGUGAAAUCCCCGGGCUCAACCUGGGAACUGCAUUUGUGACUGCAAGGCUAGAGUACGGCAGAGGGGGAUGGAAUUCCGCGUGUAGCAGUGAAAUGCGUAGAUAUGCGGAGGAACACCAAUGGCGAAGGCAAUCCCCUGGGCCUGUACUGACGCUCAUGCACGAAAGCGUGGGGAGCAAACAGGAUUAGAUACCCUGGUAGUCCACGCCCUAAACGAUGUCAACUGGUUGUUGGACGGCUUGCUGUUCAGUAACGAAGCUAACGCGUGAAGUUGACCGCCUGGGGAGUACGGCCGCAAGGUUGAAACUCAGAGGAAUUGACGGGGACCCGCACAAGCAGUGGAUGAUGUGGUUUAAUUCGAUGCAACGCGAAAAACCUUACCUACCCUUGACAUGUCAAGAAUUCUGCAGAGAUGUGGAAGUGCUCGAAAGAGAACUUGAACACAGGUGCUGCAUGGCCGUCGUCAGCUCGUGUCGUGAGAUGUUGGGUUAAGUCCCGCAACGAGCGCAACCCUUGUCAUUAGUUGCUACGCAAGAGCACUCUAAUGAGACUGCCGGUGACAAACCGGAGGAAGGUGGGGAUGACGUCAGGUCCUCAUGGCCCUUAUGGGUAGGGCUACACACGUCAUACAAUGGCCGGUACAGAGGGCUGCCAACCCGCGAGGGGGAGCCAAUCCCAGAAAACCGGUCGUAGUCCGGAUCGUAGUCUGCAACCCGACUGCGUGAGGUCGGAAUCGCUAGUAAUCGCGGAUCAGCUUGCCGCGGUGAAUACGUUCCCGGGUCU